AAAAGCCGCAGGUGAACUGCAGUGAAGAAGUCCUUGGAGGAGGCUGGGCAGGUGGCCCCCAGCUGGAGGAGCUCCUCACUUAGCUCUAAGGACAAGAGGUGGAGAAGCAGCCCCAGGAAAACAACCUCUGGAGAGGACAUCCUGAGUCAGGUUCCUGGAGGCACCUCUGAGGAUGGCAGAAUAGCUCCUUCAGAACACUGUUGGACCUGGGACUUCCUCAGUCCUUUGUUCUGUCCACCUGGACAAAGUGGCCCCGACCAGCACUGGAGAGGAAGAGAAUGUGGAUACCUUAGAAUUAGAAAACUACAGUAUGUAACUUUGGAAAACAGCAAAGAGGAAGAAACAGCAUAAUUCUACCUUCCUAACCAUCUCCGUUAUUCUCUUACAAUAAAAGCACUCCCA
ensembl:lncRNA